rnacentral:lncRNA from 1 species
CAGGAGGAAUAAGAAACAAGCCAACAAAACAAUCUGGUAAAUAAGUAUACAUCAGAGAUUCCAGUAAGGAUAAGUGAGCACACCCAGUGAACUCCUUAUUAGGCGACAGCGUUUCUCGCCAAGUGUUAAGCCAAAGGAGACCUGGAACAAGAACCACUGACAUGUUCCUUAGCAUAUUCCUAGGAGCAAAUAUAAGGUCAACAGAAUGGAUGGUUUGUUUUAAAAUCUUCAGAUAUAAACAGAAACACACAGGUUUUUUUCCUAAUAGUUCACACAUGAGUAUGAAAAUGUUAACCAGCAUUUAUAGGGCCAAAAAAAAAAAAAAAGUACUUUUGAAGCAUUGUAAAAACUUUGCAAGGGCUAUACUGUGGUGUGGUCAGAGGAAACGGGGAACAAACAAAGUCUCCAGCAUCUAACUCUUGACAACCUUUCUUACUGCAUUUGAGUCAUCAAUCCACAGUGACAUGUUACAUAUGACACUCGGCCUCCAUUUGCUGAAACACUGAACUCACUGAGACUUUUUUUAUUUUAAUGGAGUCUCAAGGGUGUUCUGAAUAUAGCAUUGUUACAACUGGGAAGAGAUGAGAAAGAUUUAGACCACCUCCUUACCCUGAGUGCAAAACAUCAAAUAUGCACAGAUCAAAGAGAAAAGUUCUCACCUCCCACAGGUAGAAUGGCCACCAUCAAAAAGUCUACAAAUAAUAAAUGCUUAUUGGUUUGGGUGUGAAGAAAAGGAAACCCUCCCGCACUCCUGGAAGGAAUAUAAACUGAGGCUGCCACUAUGGAAAACAGUAUGGUGGCUUCUUAAAAAACUAAGAAUAUAGCUCCAUUUCACCCAGCAAUCCCACUCCCAGGUAUGUGUCUGGAAAAGAUGAAAACUUUUACUUCAAAAAAACGCAUAUACGCCAAUGUUCAUAGAAGCACAAUUUACAACAGCCAAGACAUGGAAACAACCUAAAUGUCCAUCCAAAGAUGAAUGGAUAAUGAAGAUGUGGUACAUACAUACACAAUGGAAUAUUACUCAGCCAUAAAAAGAAUGAAAUAAUGCCAUGUGCAACAAAAUGGAUGGACUUAGAGAUUAUCCUGAGUGCAGUAAGAUAAAGACAAAUACCAUAUGAUUGCACUUAUAUGUGAACUCCAAAAAAAAAAAAAAGAUACAAAUGAACUUAUUUAGAAAAUACAAUCAGACUCACAGACAGAGAAAACAAAUUUAUGGUUACCAAAGGGCAAAAAGUGGGGAAGGGAUAAAAUAUGAGCAUGAGAUUAACAUAAACACACUACUAAAUGUAAAAUAUAUAAACGACAAGGACCUACUAUACAGGACAGGGAAUAUAUUCAAUACAUUAUAAUAGCCUAUAAUGGAAAAUAAUCUGGAAAGCAUAUAUAUAAAACAUUUACAUAUACAUGCACAUGUAUACAUUUAUAUAUAUUUAUUUAUAUAUAACUGAAUUACUUUAUUGUACACCUAAAACUAACACAACAUUGCAAACUACUAUAUUUCAAUUCUGUUCAGCACUUCUCCACAGGAAAGGCAUGGAACUUGGUUGUGCAUUAUCCCAGUCACUGAGGGCUUUGCAUCAGAUUUCAACUGAUCCCAAAUAGAGGACAAACAUUCAUGGAUACAAGAAUAAACUGGAGCGGUUUCAAGUGUGUCAGCUAUUACCUUCUGUUUGAAAGAGCAUUUGGUACAAGUCUAUUUUGGGUAGACUCAUCAGAAAAAAAGGGAACAAAGGCCGUUCUUAAUGUAUCACAUCCCAGAUUUCAUACUUAAUGCAUCAUGGACUCAAUUCUCUUCCCUCCCAUAUAAGUUAUGAGAUGGCAACAGCUGUUGACCAGCCACAAACAAGAAUAAAGUAUAAAUUUCCAUGAGUCCUAGACCCUCAUCUUCUUAGGUGUGCCAUGUCAAAAAGUCAGUUGUUACAGAUUUCCUUUUUCAGCAAAUUAAAUGUUACUUUCUAGAAGACGUGAAGAACUAUAUCAUGCUACCCUUUGCCCCUACCAAAUAUUGUUUGAGUUUUCCCUUAUCCCUCAAAACCUAGGUAUGGGAAUGACAGAACAAUGUGAGGGUAGUUGCUAGAGCUAGCAACUACCAGUGAUGGCCCACAUGCAUGAUGAGGUCUUACCAUUUCUGUGAAGACCAAAGGUGCCCACACCCUGAACCCUGGGGCCUGUGCAUAUACGAUGUCACAUAGGAAAAGGGUUUUGCAGAUGCAAGUAAGGCUGCAGACCCUGAGGCAGGCAGAUUAUUCUGGGUUAUCUAGGUGGGCCCAAUCCAAUCACAUGAUCCCCUAAAAGCAGAGAAUGUUCUCCAGCUAAAGUCCAAGAGAUGAAAUAGCAAGGAAAGUCGGUGUGAUUCAAAGUGUGAGAGGGCCUAACCUACCACUGCUGGUGAGCAGCUGCAUGGACAGCAUGAGAAGGAAUGUGGGCAGCCUCUAAGUGCAAAGGAAACCUCAGUCCUACAACCACAAGGAAUCAAAUUUGUCCAAUGAAUGAAAGUGAAAACAGGUUCAUCUCCCUGGAGCCUCUGCAAGAAGGAAUACAGCCUGGCCUACACCUUCAUUUCAGCUUUGAGAGUGUUGAAGCAAAAGAUUUCGGAGAGUCCAACUACAGCUGGACUUCCCACUUUCUGAAUUGUGAGGUAACAAGUGGAUGUCAUUCUAAAUCACUAUAUUGGCAGCGAUUUUUUUUUUCUUUUUAGGGCCAUACCUGUGGCAUAUGGAAGUUCCCUGACUAGGGGUCAAAUCAGAUCUGUAGCUGCCAGCCCAUACUACAGCUCAUGGCAAUGCCAGAUCCUUAACUCACUGAGUGAGCGAGGCCAGGGAUUAAACCCACAUCUUCAUGGAUACUAGUCAGGUUUGUUUCUGCUGAGCCACAACGGGAACUCCUGCCAUAAUUUUUUAUUUUUUUAAGAGAAAAUUAAUACACGGGCCAACCUCCAGUUGCCAAGGCCACUUCUUUUUCUGAAGGCUUUUACUGGCUUCCAGUGCCUACUCUGCCCUAGUAGAAUGCAGAACAGACACACCAGGGAAUUGUUAUCAGCUAGAGAGUCAGAGGUGGGGGAUACACACCCCACCUUCACUGCACCUUUGGUGGGAUAACUGAGAUGUGUGAUCUGCAUUGAUGCCCAGAGUUUUGAAACAAGGAUCAGCUCCAAUGGUUCACAGGGGUGGCAUGUUUGAUAAUGCCUUGUUUUUGGCUUCUUUCCCUUCUGCAUCUUAUUGUCCUGAUCUCUUGUAAUGUGUCUCAGAAUCUCUCUCCCAAUAAAUUACUUAAGUCUAUGUCUCAGAUCUACUUCUGGGGCACCUGGAACUAAAGCAGCACUAUUCCUCCUUAUCUCAACUCUUUAGUCAAAUGUUAUCACCUAUUAAUUGUGAGAAUAUCAGCAAUGGGUAAAAAGUUUUUCAAGAAUGAUGUACCUUUGCUACAGCUAACACUUUAUAUCUUAUUUAAUCUUUACAACACAAUCAUGAGGUUGGAACCAGAUUAUCCACCAGUGAGUGGAUAAGAAAACUGAGGUUGAGGGACGCUAUUUCAGUGCUCAAGAUUUCACACGGAAUGCGGAGAAAGAUUCACACCGUCAUCUGCGUGAUUCUAAAACCCACAAAUAUAUGUAUUUCAGAGUAAAAACUAGAGUCCUGUUGAGUCCAUAGGAAUCGUUAUGACAGUCACUCCAACAGAUGUUGCAAAAGAGGUGUGGAGAGAAAACCGUUACCCACAGCUUCCUGGAACCCUGCUUGAGAAAUGCUGCGUUUGAUCACAAGCUUAGGGGCCACAUCUGUUUCACUGCUCCAUCCUCAGGAGUUGGCGCAGCUCCUGACCCAUCACCAGUGCAUGUUUACUGAAUGCAUGGAUGAAUCUCUCAUCUUCUCAGUGGGUCACAGUUCCUUCCCUCAGGGACCCUGUUCGUAUCUCUUCUAUCUCCUCAUUUUCAUUUUAAUGAGUCUUCUACCUCUAUAGCCUCUCAUUAGGAACUUGUUGGAAUGCUGGUUUUUUCCAGGCCAGUGACUUCUAUUUUCCAGGUUGUCCAGUGCUGACCUAAGGUCUCUGUGCUAAGCCUGAGGGUAGGCAGAAGACAGGUAUGAAGAGCAGCCAACAAAAGGACCCUCUGCUCUUUUGUAUGGAAACUCUUUCUUCACAAGUGUACUCCCCAGAAGCUUUUCUAGACAAUAACUGAUGCUAGCCAAGCAUUCAUACCAUGCAGAAUCCUACAGUUUUAUGUAAUCGCUCCUAAGCAGCAGCCGUGGAUGGAUGUCAGAAUUGGGAGAGAUCAAGAAAUGAAAUGAUGUACUCAAGAUUGCUUGUUGAAAUAGUGACAAAGUUAAAAUAAUAGUAACUUGCCCAAUUUCUCCUAAUUUAAGGCACAUGGUAAGCACAAAAAAUAUGCUAAAGAGUUAAAAAGAGCUUCUUUUUAAAAAUUGAAGAAAUGAUACUGCACCAAUUUAUAACAUCUACAUAAGGUGCUUUAAUGAAGAAAUCAUAAAGAUAUGUAUCUGUAGCCUUUGAAGAAACUGGCUCUUCUUCCCCAAGGGCCCAAUUGUAAUUUCUCUCCAGAAUCAGUCAUGAGAAAUUACUGAAGAAGAUAGGAGUCAAGUGUUAUCUUCCAAGAGAAGAAAAAUACACUGGAGUUCCCGUCGUGGCGCAGUGGUUAACGAAUCCGACUAGGAACCAUGAGGUUGCGGGUUCGGUCCCUGCCCUUGCUCAGUGGGUUAACGAUCCGGCGUUGCUGUGAGCUGGGGUGUAGGUUGCAGACGCGGCUCGGAUCCUGCAUUGCUGUGGCUCUGGUGUAGGCUGGCGGCUGCAGCUCCGAUUCGACCCCUAGCCUGGGAACCUCUAUAUGCUGCGGGAGCGGCCCAAGAAAUAGCAAAAAGACAAAAAAAAAAAAAAAAAAAAAA